GACGAACGCUGGCGGCGUGCCUAAUACAUGCAAGUCGAGCGGACUGAUUAAGAGCUUGCUCUUAUGACGUUAGCGGCGGACGGGUGAGUAACACGUGGGCAACCUGCCCUGUAGAUCGGGAUAACACCGAGAAAUCGGUGCUAAUACCGGGUAAUAUCUGAGAUCACAUGAUCUUAGGUUAAAAGAUGGCUCCGGCUAUCACUACAGGAUGGGCCCGCGGCGCAUUAGCUAGUUGGUAAGGUAAUGGCUUACCAAGGCGACGAUGCGUAGCCGACCUGAGAGGGUGAUCGGCCACACUGGGACUGAGACACGGCCCAGACUCCUACGGGAGGCAGCAGUAGGGAAUCUUCCGCAAUGGACGAAAGUCUGACGGAGCAACGCCGCGUGAGUGAUGAAGGGUUUCGGCGCGUAAAGCUCUGUUGUUAGGGAAGAAACAGUACCGAACGAACUAGGUCGGUACCUUGACGGUACCUAACCGGAAAGCCACGGCUAACUACGUG
rnacentral:rRNA from 1 species